GACGAACGCUGGCGGCGUGCUUAACACAUGCAAGUCGAACGGAAAGGCCUCUUUCGGGGGGUACUCGAGUGGCGAACGGGUGAGUAACACGUGAGUAACCUGCCCUUGACUUUGGGAUAACUUCAGGAAACUGGGGCUAAUACCGGAUAGGAGCUCCUGCUGCAUGGUGGGGGUUGGAAAGUUUCGGCGGUUGGGGAUGGACUCGCGGCUUAUCAGCUUGUUGGUGGGGUAGUGGCUUACCAAGGCUUUGACGGGUAGCCGACCUGAGAGGGUGACCGGCCACAUUGGGACUGAGAUACGGCCCAGACUCCUACGGGAGGCAGCAGUGGGGAAUAUUGCACAAUGGGUGGAAGCCUGAUGCAGCAACGCCGUGUGCGGGAUGACGGCCUUCGGGUUGUAAACCGCUUUCGCUCAUGACGAAGCUUUGUGUGACGGUAGUGGGUAAAGAAGCACCGGCUAACUACGUG
rnacentral:rRNA from 1 species